UGUAUUUUAAAUUUCAGUUUCAGAGAUAACAACUUUUUUCAAUUUACUGGGGCUGAAGAAGAUAAGAUUCAACUACGAGGAACAUUAUUCAUCAUUUUCUUUUCAGAUAUAACCAUUUUUUUCAAUUUGCUGGGGCAAAAAUGUCACUUUCAAUCACUUAUCUAAUUCAUUUCACUAAUUCGAAGACGUCACAUUACUCAUUUGCAUUUUUUAAAAUAAUUGUUGCGCUCAUUAUCAAUAUGUGCACGAAGGUUCAACCAGUUCUAAAUCAACUCUACUUGACAGAACUCCAUAAAUUUCCGUUCUCUUCACAAAUUUUUAUAAAAAUUCAUAAUUUUUUCUACAAUCUGUUGUGCCGAAUUUAUGAAAGAGCAUUGAAAAUUAUUCUCUUCAUUGAAAAGUCUUUUGAAAAAUGGCUGUCACCAAUUUAAUACCGUUUAGCAAUCUUGGCCUAUUUUCUCCAAUAUUUCAAAUGAUAAAUACGAUAAGUUCUAUGAUUAUACAAACGCUGAUGUCAUUCAUGCCACUGCACAAUUGCCUGAACGCGUUACUGGCAGGCAACAGUAUGGAACUUUUAUUAAAUUGCUCACUGGAUAUCGCAACAUUUAUACCUAUUUUUACACCAUUUAUUUUUACGGCAAAAAUGAUUGCACCUGCAGUAAGGAUCUUAAUGACGGCCCUUGGCCCAUUUUUGUCCAAUUUUUCAGAAAUAAUGGGAAGUCGAAUGCCGUCCAAUUGAAAAAAAUAAUAAUAUUGACACCUGUGUUAGAGAAAGGAAUUUUGAGUUUGGUAAGCAGCUGGUUAAAAUUAAAAAUGGUAUUUAUUGGACUUUAAAAAAUUUAGCCUAAAAUUCCUGAAAUCCUAACCUACAUUUUGGAAUACUUGGGUUUCAAAAAAGCGUAGUACUAUUUGCUAUUUUUUGAUUGACUUUCCAAAACUCAAAAUUUUAUUCUUAUUUUUCCUUUCGAUUUAUGUUCUUCCCGUUUGUUAAUAUUUAUUUAGGUAUAAAUGGAUUGUACAUGUUAAUUUUAAUAAAGGAUUCUUUCG